GGAUAAUGCGAACGACCCCCACGAUCCCAUCGUGAACAGGCUGCUGCGCUCCAUGGCCACGCAGGCCAUGUCGAAUGCUCUGUAUUUCUCCACCGGAUCCUGCGCAGAGGAGGAGUUCCAUCAUUACGGUCUUGCAUUAGAUAAAUAUACCCACUUUACUUCUCCAAUAAGAAGAUAUUCAGAUAUUGUAGUACACCGCUUGUUAAUGGCAGCCAUUUCAAAAGAUAAGAAAAUGGAAAUUAAGGGAAAUUUGUUCAGCAACAAAGAUCUUGAGGAAUUAUGCAGACAUAUCAACAACAGAAACCGAGUAAGAGGGAAUUUCAAAAUUCUCUUACCUGUCAUCUCUUGCUAAGAAAAUAUCAGCUUUAUUGUGUAUUACAGUGAAGUAUCAUAUAUUCUAGCAAAUUAAAUUCUAGAAUUAUUCUAACCAGUGCUUUCAGAACAUCUGUAGAUGUU
rnacentral:sRNA from 1 species